rnacentral:rRNA from 1 species
GUUAUAUGGUCAAGUGAAGAAGCGCAUACGGUGGAUGCCUUGGCAGUCAGAGGCGAUGAAAGACGUGGUAGCCUGCGAUAAGCUUCGGGGAGUCGGCAAACAGACUUUGAUCCGGAGAUCUCUGAAUGGGGAACCCACUCAGCAUAAGCUGAGUAUCUUGUACUGAAUACAUAGGUGCAAGAGGCGAACCAGGGGAACUGAAACAUCUAAGUACCCUGAGGAAAAGAAAUCAACCGAGAUUCCCUUAGUAGUGGCGAGCGAACGGGGACUAGCCCUUAAGUGGCUUUGAGAUUAGCGGAACGCUCUGGAAAGUGCGGCCAUAGUGGGUGAUAGCCCUGUACGCGAAAAUCUCUUAGUCAUGAAAUCGAGUAGGACGGAGCACGAGAAACUUUGUCUGAAUAUGGGGGACCAUCCUCCAAGGCUAAAUACUACUGACUGACCGAUAGUGAACCAGUACCGUGAGGGAAAGGCGAAAAGAACCCCGGAGAGGGGAGUGAAAUAGAUCCUGAAACCGUAUGCGUACAAGCAGUGGGAGCCUACUUUGUUAGGUGACUGCGUACCUUUUGUAUAAUGGGUCAGCGACUUAUAUUCAGUGGCGAGCUUAACCGAAUAGGGAGGCGUAGCGAAAGCGAGUCUUAAUAGGGCGUUUAGUCGCUGGGUAUAGACCCGAAACCGGGCGAUCUAUCCAUGGGCAGGUUGAAGGUUAGGUAACACUGACUGGAGGACCGAACCGACUACCGUUGAAAAGUUAGCGGAUGACCUGUGGAUCGGAGUGAAAGGCUAAUCAAGCUCGGAGAUAGCUGGUUCUCCUCGAAAGCUAUUUAGGUAGCGCCUCAUGUAUCACUGUAGGGGUAGAGCACUGUUUCGGCUAGGGGUCAUCCCGACUUACCAAACCGAUGCAAACUCCGAAUACCUACAAGUGCCGAGCAUGGGAGACACACGGCGGGUGCUAACGUCCGUCGUGAAAAGGGAAACAACCCAGACCGUCAGCUAAGGUCCCAAAGUUAUGGUUAAGUGGGAAACGAUGUGGGAAGGCUUAGACAGCUAGGAGGUUGGCUUAGAAGCAGCCACCCUUUAAAGAAAGCGUAAUAGCUCACUAGUCGAGUCGGCCUGCGCGGAAGAUGUAACGGGGCUCAAACCAUACACCGAAGCUACGGGUAUCACUUAGGUGAUGCGGUAGAGGAGCGUUCUGUAAGCCUGUGAAGGUGAGUUGAGAAGCUUGCUGGAGGUAUCAGAAGUGCGAAUGCUGACAUGAGUAACGACAAUGGGAGUGAAAAACUCCCACGCCGAAAGACCAAGGUUUCCUGCGCAACGUUAAUCGACGCAGGGUUAGUCGGUCCCUAAGGCGAGGCUGAAAAGCGUAGUCGAUGGAAAACAGGUUAAUAUUCCUGUACUUCUGGUUAUUGCGAUGGAGGGACGGAGAAGGCUAGGCCAGCUUGGCGUUGGUUGUCCAAGUUUAAGGUGGUAGGCUGAGAUCUUAGGUAAAUCCGGGAUCUUAAGGCCGAGAGCUGAUGACGAGUUGCCAUUAGGCGACGAAGUGGUUGAUGCCAUGCUUCCAAGAAAAAGCUUCUAAGCUUCAGAUAACCAGGAACCGUACCCCAAACCGACACAGGUGGUUGGGUAGAGAAUACCAAGGCGCUUGAGAGAACUCGGGUGAAGGAACUAGGCAAAAUGGCACCGUAACUUCGGGAGAAGGUGCGCCGGUGAGGGUGAAGGACUUGCUCCGUAAGCCCAUGCCGGUCGAAGAUACCAGGCCGCUGCGACUGUUUAUUAAAAACACAGCACUCUGCAAACACGAAAGUGGACGUAUAGGGUGUGACGCCUGCCCGGUGCCGGAAGGUUAAUUGAUGGGGUUAGCUAACGCGAAGUCUUGAUCGAAGCCCCGGUAAACGGCGGCCGUAACUAUAACGGUCCUAAGGUAGCGAAAUUCCUUGUCGGGUAAGUUCCGACCUGCACGAAUGGCGUAACGAUGGCGGCGCUGUCUCCACCCGAGACUCAGUGAAAUUGAAAUCGCUGUGAAGAUGCAGUGUAUCCGCGGCUAGACGGAAAGACCCCGUGAACCUUUACUAUAGCUUUGCACUGGACUUUGAAUUUGCUUUGUAGGAUAGGUGGGAGGCUUUGAAGCGUGGACGCCAGUUCGCGUGGAGCCAUCCUUGAAAUACCACCCUGGCAACUUUGAGGUUCUAACUCAGGUCCGUUAUCCGGAUCGAGGACAGUGUAUGGUGGGUAGUUUGACUGGGGCGGUCUCCUCCUAAAGAGUAACGGAGGAGUACGAAGGUGCGCUCAGACCGGUCGGAAAUCGGUCGUAGAGUAUAAAGGCAAAAGCGCGCUUGACUGCGAGACAGACACGUCGAGCAGGUACGAAAGUAGGUCUUAGUGAUCCGGUGGUUCUGUAUGGAAGGGCCAUCGCUCAACGGAUAAAAGGUACUCCGGGGAUAACAGGCUGAUACCGCCCAAGAGUUCAUAUCGACGGCGGUGUUUGGCACCUCGAUGUCGGCUCAUCACAUCCUGGGGCUGAAGCCGGUCCCAAGGGGUAUGGCUGUUCGCCAUUUAAAGUGGUACGCGAGCUGGGUUUAGAACGUCGUGAGACAGUUCGGUCCCUAUCUGCCGUGGACGUUUGAGAUUUGAGAGGGGCUGCUCCUAGUACGAGAGGACCGGAGUGGACGAACCUCUGGUGUUCCGGUUGUCACGCCAGUGGCAUUGCCGGGUAGCUAUGUUCGGAAGAGAUAACCGCUGAAAGCAUCUAAGCGGGAAACUUGCCUCAAGAUGAGAUCUCACUGGAGCCUUGAGCUCCCUGAAGGCCGUCGAAGACUACGACGUUGAUAGGUUGGGUGUGUAAGCGCUGUGAGGCGUUGAGCUAACCAAUACUAAUUGCCCGUGAGGCUUGACCAUAUAACACCCAAGCAAUU